rnacentral:rRNA from 1 species
UACAGAGGGUGCAAGCGUUAAUCGGAAUUACUGGGCGUAAAGCGUGCGUAGACGGUUAUUUAAGUCGGGUGUGAAAGCCCCGGGCUCAACCUGGGAAUUGCAUUCGAGACUGAAUAGCUAGGGUGCGGAAGAGGGAAGCGGAAUUUCCGGUGUAGCGGUGAAAUGCGUAGAUAUCGGAAGGAACACCAGUGGCGAAAGCGACUUCCUGGUCCAGCACCGACGUUCAGGCACGAAAGCGUGGGGAGCAAACAGG